CAGCCGCCGCGGUAAUACGUAGGGUGCGAGCGUUAAUCGGAUUUACUGGGCGUAAAGCGUGCGCAGGCGGCCCGUUAAGACAGGUGUGAAAUCCCUGGGCUCAACCUAGGAAUUGCGCUUGUGACUGGCGGGCUCGAGUACGGUAGAGGGGGGUGGAAUUCCUGGUGUAGCAGGGAAAUGCGUAGAGAUCAGGAGGAACACCGAUGGCGAAGGCAGCCCCCUGGGCCUGUACUGACGCUCAUGCACGAAAGCGUGGGGAGCAAACAGGAUUAGAUACCCUGGUAGUCCACGCCCUAAACGAUGGGUACUAGCCGUUUGGUGCGCGAUAGCGCUGAGUGGCGAAGCUAACGCGUGAAGUACCCCGCCUGGGGAGUACGGCCGCAAGGUUGAAACUUAAAGGAAUUGGCGGG
rnacentral:rRNA from 1 species